AGACGGGGACCCGCACAAGCGGUGGAUGAUGUGGUUUAAUUCGAUGCAACGCGAAAAACCUUUACCCACCUUUGACAUGUAUGGAAGUUUCCAGAGAUGGAUUCGUGCUCGAAAGAGAGCCAUAACACAGGUGCUGCAUGGCUGUCGUCAGCUCGUGUCGUGAGAUGUUCGGUUAAGUCCGCUAACGAGCGCAACCCUCGCUGUGUGUUACAAGUGUCACACAGGACCGCCGGUCUUAAGCCGGAGGAAGGUGGGAUGACGUCAAGUCAGCAUGGCCUUUAUGUCCAGGGCUACACACACGCUACAAUGGUCGGCACAAUAGGUAGCCAAGCCGCGAGGUGGAGCCAAUCCUCAAAGCUGGCCUCAGUUCAGAUCGCAGGCUGCAACCCGCCUGCGUGAAGCCGGAGUUGCUAGUAACCGCAGGUCAGCUAUACUGCGGUGAAUACGUUCCCGGGGCUU
rnacentral:rRNA from 1 species